rnacentral:rRNA from 1 species
ACCUACGGGGGGCAGCAGUGAGGAAUAUUGGUCAAUGGUCGGGAGACUGAACCAGCCAAGCCGCGUGAGGGAGGAAGGUACAGAGUAUCGUAAACCUCUUUUGUCAGGGAACAAAGGCGGGGACGUGUCCCCGGAUGAGUGUACCUGAAGAAAAAGCAUCGGCUAACUCCGUGCCAGCAGCCGCGGUAAUACGGAGGAUGCGAGCGUUAUCCGGGUUUAUUGGGUUUAAAGGGUGCGCAGGCGGUCUGUUAAGUCAGCGGUCAAAGCCCGGGGCUCAACCCCGGCCCGCCGUUGAAACUGGCAGU